ACCAGAACCAAAACAUGCUGAAACUAAUGUAUAACUACGUAGUUGCCAAAGAGGCUAGCGAUCACAAAAACAAAGACAUAGGUAUGAGAUGAUGUUAGUAGCCUUAUGCACAUUAUAAUACAAACAUUCAUGGACACAGGCUACGAAAAGAAUCAAGGCAUCAGUAACGGAAGUUUAACGCUUUUCAAAUUUUACACUUCUGUCCACCAGUUUGGACAAAACUCAAGCGUUGCAAGUUUUUAGACAAUUCAUUCAGGUUGUGGUCGAGGGUCUUCCUGUUUGUGGGUCUGAUCACAGCAUGAGUCCACAGCAGAGGCCACUUCCUUUGCACGUAGCAGAGCUCAGACCGAUGCAGGCCGUCGUACCUAUGAACGUCAGGGCUUCUGAAAAGCAGCCGCUCUGUAGAAAUGACCCAUGGAAAGCUUCACUAACUGAACAACAUACACGCGUUACAAUAUACCCUUACAUUCAUUACGUUUGACAACAAGUCCCCUAACAAUAAUAUGACGAUCAGAAAUGUGAAAACUUACAUAAAGUAUAAGAUGUCAGUCAGUGAUGCGUGUUGUUUAGUGUCUCUAUGUUCACCCAGCAGGACAGGUGUGAUCACAUUCAAUAUCCACUCUGCUGCUCCAGUGGCGUCUCAUUGCAGAUUUCCAGAUGCUAAAUAAACGUGCUGUUAAAAUUAAAGUGUCCUUAACAGACGGGUGUCAGUGUUCAGUGGUGAGUCAGAGUGAGAAGAUGCAGCUUCUGCUGCUGGUUUGUCUUUUGGCGUAUGGAUCAUGGGGAGUUCCAGACAAGCUGGUUGUCACUCAGACUCCUGCCGUCUCUGUGACGGAGUGGGGGGCAGCAAACAUCUCCUGCUGCUGGACGGGGACCUUUGACAGACUCUCAGUGAUCUGGCUGAAAAAUGAAACGCAGUUCGAUUCAGAGAUUGUGCUCUCGAAACCCGAUGUCCAUUGUACAGUGUUGUCCUUCAGGAAGAUCACUAGGAAGCAGUCAGGGACAUACAUCUGCAGCGUGACCCUGGUUAUUCCAUUUUAUGAGAAGGCUGAAGGAAACGGUACGGUCGUCACGGUCUUGGCCAGAGAGGACCCAGAAGACAGCAGAGAUGCUGACUCAGACAGAAGUGGUGAAAUCCCAGAGAGCAGAGGAAAGACUGAUGACUCGUCAGCUGCUGGCAGAGGGAAACGCAUCGUACUGCAAAAAAACAGAAAGGGCACUGAUGACGUGCCCUACGAGAAAACAGCUGCUGGUGAUCCAAGGGAGGACGUGUUGACUUUCAUCAUGAGGUCUCUGCCCAUCCUCGCCCUCUUCCUUACCUUCAUCUACCUCUACUGUUCAUGGAGCAAAGCUCAGUCACACACGCCAGCUGCUCCAGAAAAUGAGCCCACUUCAGGACAAACAUCAGAUCAAGACCAAGAAGAAGAGGAAAGUGCUGCGAUAUCGAAUGUGAAGGGAAAAGAAGAGAACACGAUAUCAGAGGACUGACAGAAAGGCAAACGGUCCUUAUAACCGCCGUUAGCUACUGACUGGACUGAAAUGACAGAAGCAGCACAUCUGAAGGCCCGUUUUGAACUCACCUGCCAAGAUCAUAAGCUAAGAGACAGACUCACCUGAAGACACGUGUGUGUCAAUAAAUGUACAGCAUGGAAGCUCA
ensembl:lncRNA